GAUACAGUUUCAGGAUUCUUUGAUGAUCUUUUGUAACAUUAUAAAUGUCUUUACUGUCACAUUGCUGAAUAACAGUAUUUAUUUCAUAAAAAUAGGCAUUUUACAACAGCAGCGCAUGGAGAGUUCAGAAUGACACUGUCACUCCUGGAGUCCGGUCAGUUACAUUAUAAACUCACUUUCAUGAACUGUUACAUACUGAGCAAAGGUCUGUUUGCCAAAGCUUUGUGUUUCAUUUCAUGCUUUAUCUUUUUCACUGUUAUUUGCUUUUAAAUGUAAGUGUGGUUUUGUUUUGUCAUAACAGGUAUGCGUGGAAUCAGAAGAACGUAAUCUAUGCUAUUUUCCGCCUGCUGAUGGCUAUAUUGUUCUGAGCAACCCAGUUGCAUCAUCAUCCAAGAUGCAGGUGGUGCUGCUUGGAUAUCGGUCCCUCUCAUGGGAGUCCAUGAGACCCACUGGUCUAAAGGUUCAUCUGCCCCAGCUGGCCCCCGGUCAGAUGCCCUGCUCCUGGGCUUGGACUCUGCAGCUGACUGGUGCGGUGCAGCCAGAGGAUGGCGCCACAGUUAGCUGUUGCCUUAGGAAUAAUGAAGCACAUGACUGAAGGUGUCCGGGUGUCUGGUCUGACCGGGGUGAGCCUGCCGCUGGGAGGUAAAGUAGGAAGGACCUUUGGGCUUCCAGAGCCAAUCUUCCAUUACGUGUAGUACGACAGAAUGAGGGGGUCUGCGAGGGGAUUUCAUCUUGCUUUUUGCAUGUGCACUACAUUUGCAUCACUCUCAGAAAAAAUGUACAAAGCUGUCACUAGGCCGAUACUCCCAAGUAUCAAAAGCUAAAAGGUACAUCUUUGUACUUUAUUUACUCCUAAAUGGUACAUAUUAGUACAUAUUAGUACUUUUUAAAAGUUCAUAUUCUUACCUUUUGAAAGGCCCCCACCCCAGAGACAGUUUGUCUGUGUAUAACACAAUUAGAUGCAGUGAAAUUAUUAGAUUUACAGAAAUGUCAUUCUGGUUGCUUAACAAAUCAUAUAAUAUGUCAUAACGGGAUGCAUUAUGCAUUAUUUUUAAAAUUCAGACUUACACAUUUUUUUUUUUUAUAGUUACUCACCAUGACUAUUCCUUUAUUAUUUUAAAUAUUUGAUUACAGUUGGAAACUAAACUAAGUUAACCAUAAAAAAAAAAAAAAAAAAAAACAAAAUAUAUAUAUAUAUAUAUAUAUAUAUAUAUAUAUAUAUAUAUACUUGAAUUAACAAAAAUAAAUUAAAUACUAAAUUAAAAUGAAGUAAAAACUAAACUAUAUAGACAUGCAGAAACAAAACUAAUAAAAAUAGACAAAAAACCUCAAAAAUAUACAAAUCUAA
rnacentral:lncRNA from 1 species